UACGUAGGGGGCGAGCGUUGUUCGGAAUUAUUGGGCGUAAAGGGCGUGUAGGCGGUGCGGUAAGUCGGACGUGAAAUCUCCGGGCUUAACCCGGAGGGGUCGUUCGAAACUGCCGUGCUCGAGUGUGGGAGAGGGAAGCGGAAUUCCCGGUGUAGCGGUGAAAUGCGUAGAUAUCAAGUGGAACACCAGUGGCGAAGGCGAGUCCCUGGACACUCCCUGACACUGAGGCACGAAAGCUAGGGGAGCAAACAGG
rnacentral:rRNA from 1 species